rnacentral:rRNA from 1 species
GCUGCCCGAGUUGUAAUCUAGAGAAGCGUUAUCCGCGCUGGACCGUGUAUAAGUCUCCUGGAAUGGAGCGUCAUAGAGGGUGAGAAUCCCGUCUUUGACACGGACUACCAGGGCUUUGUGAUGCGCUCUCAAAGAGUCGAGUUGUUUGGGAAUGCAGCUCUAAAUGGGUGGUAAAUUCCAUCUAAAGCUAAAUAUUGGCGAGAGACCGAUAGCGAACAAGUACCGUGAGGGAAAGAUGAAAAGAACUUUGGAAAGAGAGUUAAACAGUACGUGAAAUUGUUGAAAGGGAAACGCUUGAAGUCAGUCACAUUAGCCAGAAAUCAGCCUUGCUUUUGCUUGGUGUACUUUCUGGUUGAUGGGUCAGCAUCAGUUUUGACCGGUGGAAAAAGGCCAGUGGAAUGUGGCACCUCCGGGUGUGUUAUAGCUGCUGGUUGUAUACAUCGGUUGGGACUGAGGAACUCAGCACGCCGCAAGGUCGGGGUUCGCCCACGUUCGUGCUUAGGAUGCUGGCAUAAUGGCUUUAAUCGACCCGUCUUGAAACACGGACCAAGGAGUCUAACAUGCCUGCGAGUGUUUGGGUGGAAAACCCGAGCGCGUAAUGAAAGUGAAAGUUGAGAUCCCUGUCGUGGGGAGCAUCGACGCCCGGACCAGACCUUUUGUGACGGAUCCGCGGUAGAGCAUGUAUGUUGGGACCCGAAAGAUGGUGAACUAUGCCUGAAUAGGGUGAAGCCAGAGGAAACUCUGGUGGAGGCUCGUAGCGAUUCUGACGUGCAAAUCGAUCG